UGUGAUGGAGGUUUUGAGAUCAGACUAUGGAAAUGCCUAUUUCGUCACAGGAAUCUUCACUACUGCAAUUUACUCUGAUGAUUGCAUCUUCGAGGAUCCGACGAUCAGCUUCCAGGGUACAGAGUUGUAUGAACGCAACUUGAGAUUACUGGUUCCGUUCCUUGAAGAUGCAUCCAUUGAACUUCAAA